ACAGAACCCUCAAUUGAUCGCACCAUCCAACCACCAUUCCCGUUUCUCUAUCCACACCCUUCAACUGGCCGUCGUUCCCACGCGCCACCCACAAGAAUCGAACGCCACUAGCUUUCACGCCGGCGACGAUCUCGUCCAUUUGGGCGCUUGAAACUGAAAGAAAACUCCCCUGCGAAAUGUACAAAACAGAGCCCUCUGUUUGGGAAUCCA
rnacentral:misc_RNA from 1 species